rnacentral:rRNA from 1 species
AUGGAAAGCGGCGGACGGGUGAGUAACGCGUAGGCAACCUGCCCCUUGCAGAGGGAUAGCCAUUGGAAACGAUGAUUAAAACCUCAUAACGCUGCAUUGUCACAUGAUGGAGCAGCCAAAGAUUUAUCGGCAAGGGAUGGGCCUGCGUCUGAUUAGCUAGUUGGUGGGGUAACGGCCUACCAAGGCGACGAUCAGUAGCCGACCUGAGAGGGUGAUCGGCCACACUGGGACUGAGACACGGCCCAGACUCC